UACGAAGGGGGCUAGCGUUGCUCGGAAUUACUGGGCGUAAAGGGCGCGUAGGCGGCUAGUUUAGUCAGAGGUAAAAGCCCAGGGCUCAACCUUGGAACUGCCUUUGAUACUGGCUAUCUUGAGUACGGGAGAGGUGUGUGGAACUCCGAGUGUAGAGGUGAAAUUCGUAGAUAUUAGGAAGAACACCAGUGGCGAAGGCGGCUCACUGGUCCGGUACUGACGCUGAGGUGCGAAAGCGUGGGGAGCAAACAGG
rnacentral:rRNA from 1 species